CUUCCACCUUCUCUUGAACUCCUCCAUUCCACCACCAGUCCCCUCGGUGCCGACCACGACUACCCUUCGAGACCCCCAGCACCUCUCUAGCUACUUCCCUAAUGCAACUGGCCAUCCCAUCCCACAUAUUGGUCGCCUCCCCACUACUCUCCCAGGCUCCCAUAGAUUAAUAAUAAUCCCAUUUCUGAAAUUUAUCUCUUUUUUUUUUAGAAGUUUGCAUCCACUGUCACGUUUCUGUAUCUUCCCUUCCCCCUAAGAUAUCUCUUUCUCCUACAAUAAAAUCCCUAAUUUUCCUCUAAAAAAUCCCUAAUUUCAUCCAAAUACGAGACCCAGUCUUCCAUAUACCCUCAUACCGAUUUCGUCAGCGCUAACUUUCCUCAAAAUUCACAGGCCUUCCAUACCCAUCUCUGAUUUCCUUCGCUAAUUUUCCCUCAAAUUCGCAGACAUUUCAUAGCCAUCUCCGAUUUCCUCUGCUAAUUUUCUCUCAAAUUCGCAGACCCCAAUCUUCCAUAACCCCCAGUUUUCUACGUUGUUUCCUCUCCCAAAUUCUAAUGUUGAGAAAAGCUUAGGAAAAAAUUAGAAUUUAAAUAGCGAGAGCUCCGAACAUCCAAAGAAUUACUCAUCCGAUUUCAGAAUCAAUUCUUUUGCUACAAUUCUAAAAUAAACAUAUGUUUUUUGUAGCACCUGCAAAUUUGACAAGUAAACACCAUAAGUAUAUUCAGAUGAUUCUUUUGAUUGAAAACAUCAUGUUUUCUUCUAUAUUUUUAAUUAUUAUUCUAAGAUGGUGAUGAAACUUGCUAUAAGUAUGCUCCACUUCCACCUCAUAAGUUUAUCAGAAAGGCCACAAGAGCUGGGACAAAAUGACAAUUUAAACAAGAGAAGAGAUGUUGAAGUUUGUAUGUAUUGGUUGGCAUAUUGAGAUUCAUGUAGAGCUUAUCCUUGUUGCAAAGGUUCUCAAGAAGUGUUAUCCUGGUUGACAUAUUGAGAGUAAUACAGAGCUUAUCUUUGCUGCAAAGGUUCUCAAGAAGUGUCCUAGCAAUCCCCUCGCUCAAUAGUUAUGAUAACAUGAUUUUUUACCUUAUGAAUUGUAUAAUAAGGAGCUUUCUUCAGGACUUUGGUCUGUAGAAACUAGGUAGCAUAAUCAUGCAAUUUUGUAAGAAGAUAGAUGUUCUCUUAACAAAUUAUUGGAGGUUAGGUUGAAGUUCCCCUCCUCUUGUACUUAUCUAAAUUGUGUUUAAUGCAAUAAAGGAUAUUCAUGGUUUGUUCCAA